rnacentral:rRNA from 1 species
GACGAACGCUGGCGGCGUGCUUAACACAUGCAAGUCGAACGGAAAGGCCCUGCUUCUGUGGGGUGCUCGAGUGGCGAACGGGUGAGUAACACGUGAGUAACCUGCCCUUGACUUUGGGAUAACUUCAGGAAACUGGGGCUAAUACCGGAUAGGAGCUCCUGCUGCAUGGUGGGGGUUGGAAAGUUUCGGCGGUUGGGGAUGGACUCGCGGCUUAUCAGCUUGUUGGUGGGGUAGUGGCUUACCAAGGCUUUGACGGGUAGCCGGCCUGAGAGGGUGACCGGCCACAUUGGGACUGAGAUACGGCCCAGACUCCUACGGGAGGCAGCAGUGGGGAAUAUUGCACAAUGGGCGGAAGACUGAUGCAGCAACGCCGCGUGCGGGAUGACGGCCUUAGGGUUGUAAACCGCUUUCGCCUGUGACGAAGCGUGAGUGACGGUAAUGGGUAAAGAAGCACCGGCUAACUACGUG